rnacentral:rRNA from 1 species
UGGGGAAUAUUGCACAAUGGGCGCAAGCCUGAUGCAGCCAUGCCGCGUGUAUGAAGAAGGCCUUCGGGUUGUAAAGUACUUUCAGCGAGGAGGAAGGCGGUAAGGUUAAUAACCUUAUCGAUUGACGUUACUCGCAGAAGAAGCACCGGCUAACUCCGUGCCAGCAGCCGCGGUAAUACGGAGGGUGCAAGCGUUAAUCGGAAUUACUGGGCGUAAAGCGCACGCAGGCGGUCUGUCAAGUCGGAUGUGAAAUCCCCGGGCUCAACCUGGAACUGCAUUCGAAACUGGCAGGCUAGAGUCUUGUAGAGGGGGGUAGAAUUCCAGGUGUAGCGGUGAAAUGCGUAGAGAUCUGGAGGAAUACCGGUGGCGAAGGCGGCCCCCUGGACAAAGACUGACGCUCAGGUGCGAAAGCGUGGGGAGCAAACA